UACGUAGGGCGCAAGCGUUAUCCGGAAUUCUUGGGCGUAACGAGCUCGUAGGCGGUUUGUCGCGUCUGCCGUGAAAGUCCGGGGCUCAACCCCGGAUCUGCGGUGGGUACGGGCAGACUAGAGUGAUGUAGGGGAGACUGGAAUUCCUGGUGUAGCGGUGAAAUGCGCAGAUAUCAGGAGGAACACCGAUGGCGAAGGCAGGUCUCUGGGCAUUAACUGACGCUGAGGAGCGAAAGCAUGGGGAGCGAACAGG
rnacentral:rRNA from 1 species